GUGGGGAAUCUUCCGCAAUGGACGAAAGUCUGACGGAGCAACGCCGCGUGAGUGAUGAAGGUCUUCGGAUUGUAAAGCUCUGUUAAUCGGGACGAAAGAGCCUAGUGUGAAUAAUGCUAGGAAGUGACGGUACCGGAAUAGAAAGCCACGGCUAACUACGUGCCAGCAGCCGCGGUAAUACGUAGGUGGCAAGCGUUGUCCGGAAUUAUUGGGCGUAAAGCGCGCGCAGGCGGAUCUGCCAGUCUGUCUUAAAAGUUCGGGGCUUAACCCCGUGAUGGGAUGGAAUCUACCGAUCUAGAGUAUCGGAGAGGAAAGUGGAAUUCCUAGUGUAGCGGUGAAAUGCGUAGAUAUUAGGAAGAACACCAGUGGCGAAGGCGACUUUCUGAACGAAAACUGACGCUGAGGCGCGAAAGCCAGGGGAGCGAACGGGAUUAGAAACCCGUGUAGUCC
rnacentral:rRNA from 1 species